rnacentral:rRNA from 1 species
UCGAAACCUGCCCAGCAGAGCGNCCCGUGAACACGUUCAACCUCGUGGGUGUUGGGGCGUCGCUCGGUGCCUCGUGUGCCGGCCCGUCCCUCUCCCAAGCCGGGGGAACGCUCACUUGUGGGCUGUUUCCCCGGCAAAACAACGAACCCCGGCGCGUAAUGCGUCAAGGAAUACAAACACUAUGUGUGUACCCUCCCGUCGCCCGGUUAGCCGGGCGUUGGAGCGGUGCCAUGUCUUAACAAUA